CGACUCUCGGCAACGGAUAUCUCGGCUCUCGCAUCGAUGAAGAACGCAGCAAAUUGCGAUACUUGGUGUGAAUUGCAGAAUCCCGUGAACCAUCGAGUUUUUGAACGCAAGUUGCGCCCGAAGCCAUUAUGCUGAGGGCACGUCUGCCUGGGCGUCACG
rnacentral:rRNA from 2 species